AGCCUGAUGAAUUUGAACUCCAUGGCGUCAUUUGUUUGGGGUUGGGCGGCCUUUUGCCAGCUGUACCGCUUCAUGGAUCAUAGUUGUCGUGGUGGUGCGAGGGUUGGCGGUUUCGCUAACUUGCUCCUAAUCUGGGCGCAUGAGUACCACCUGCUACAGAUUAGUGCUCCUGCUAGCGCCAAGACAUACCCUUUUAUGGACCAUUGUGUAAAUGCAUGGUUAGAGUUAGAGAGCUCCUAUCAACUGGAUCAAUAUCGAUAGCGGUUGAACACGGUCACCUAGAUAGAGGUGUGGAUGGACCCGUGGGGUAAGUUCGCCAUCUGGUCUACCACCAUGGUAGAUGCGACAGCCUUUGACGAGUGUCACUUCUUGAUGGAGAGCUCUAUGUACCGGCACUAGUACUUUGGCAACCGGAUAUGCGAUUGGAGAGUUGGACUAGGUGCUAAGCUUAUGCUAUUCCCAUUGCCGCAUCUUGGGACAGUCAUCACGCCAGGGAGGCUGGCUGAUAUGCUGCUAGAGGAGGUCCCAGCAGUCUCCUAUUUUGAGGGAGCAGGGAGUUUGGAGGUCUCUUACAUUGAUUUUGUUGCGCUCCUACCCUUCAGGUGGGUUAGUCCGAGUGGAGAUGUGCCGACUGGUGGGACGCCACCACCGACGGAGGGAAGCCGAAAGAGGGCGCAGCCCAGGCGUGAGUUCACUUGCUGCUCUUACUGCACCGUCACUGCACAUGGUGAUCAGAGAUUUUUUCUCCCCUCACUCGGUGAUCAUUUCUAUGCCUCGGGGCGGGCGCAUCGCCUCCGUUCCAUGAUAAUAGGUGGACCAGUCGUACCGGAUCACGAAGGGGUUUUGGGCGCUCGCCUUGGGUUGGCAUGCGGACUAUCAGGUGCGUCUAUUAUGAAUAUCAUGAAUGUUAUGUAUAUAUGUUUGAUAUGUGAAUGUUUGCUAAUUGUAAUUUUUUUUGCUGCUUUGGACGGAGCACCAUCUUCAAGAGAGAGGGAAGCUAAGAGCACCCGUAUCACCGAGAUGUGGUGUGUGAAUAACGAUGCUGAGGACUUCCAUAACAUCUUCCCUGCCACAUUCGUCCGAUCUGAGUGCCUGCAAGGAUGCCCAAACCACUUUGCACUGGCCCCAAAUCCCAUUAUCUGUCCAUUAUGGCACUGAGCUUGUGUCAGGUUAGCCUAAGCUCGCAUAAAGAUAAGGUUGAGCUUGCACGAGGUCGAUUUGGGUGCUCAUUUCCUACAUAACCUUUGGGUGACUUCCUCUAUUUAGCCAUCUCUUUCUCUUACCAUGAGUGAGGCUUCCGAAGACCUUUUGCUCCCUCUAUUGAAGCGAUUCAAGAAAAGUUCAUGGGCCUUACUACAACUGCCACUCGCCAGCCUGAGAUAUCUCCGGGAUGUCUGCCUGUAUCUCCCUUUUCUCCAUGUGGCUGUCAACCUUUAGGAUCUUGAGGCUUAUGUAUUUCAGUUUGGCAUUUUGGAAGUAUGCCUUCUGUUUGAGGAGUUCUCAUCCAUCCUUAGCUUUUACCUGAAGUCAACUGACGAGUUGAUGUUAGCCCCUUUGGAGGUUUCCUUGCUGCAUGAGAUCUCAAGUUCUUUUUUUCUUUGGGAAUAUCCAUCAUUCGGGCGCAUCUCAGGGGCCCGGCCUCGAGCUCUCUUCCUUUAUCGGACUCAUGAGUCAGCUUGCCCCAAAUUCUUGCACAUGUCUCUAUGUCUUGCAAUUAGGUCUGAUGGCUCAAUUCCUAUUUGCUCAAGAUGACGGGCUCAAAGGUUUGAAACUAAUUCUUGUCCUUGCCCAAAUGUGCACCUCAUCAACCAUUGCCCCGCUCGUGUUGGCGGAUAAACUGACUGGGUUAGAUCGGGUUAAGAGGGGUGAGAGUGGUUAGUUCAGCGGUAGCCCGAUUGUAUUGUAGGUCAGUGACCAUAUCAAAGACGACACUCUAGGCACACCGAGCUCUAAUCAAAGCAUACAACACAAAGUAUUAACAAUUACCAAGUUCUUACACUUUGGAAAAUAUUAUUCAGUAGAUUUGGCGAUGUUGACUGAAGCAGUUGUGCAAUGCCAAUUGAAGCAAUAGUUGUGCGACAGUGACUGAAGCAGUAGCUUCUGGUGACGGCAACUGAAGCAGCAGCGGCGAAUGAAGCAGCAACACCGGGCGACAUCAUCGACUGAAGUACUGUGCGAUGGUGACUGAAGCAUCAGCAUUGAUUCUCCAAUUUUUUGGUUUUUUUCUUUUUGAUUUGUUUUAGAAAAUAAACUGACAUAGUGGUGGAUAUAGUUGUGGAUAUAGUUGUGGCUUUGAUGAUGAUGGCAAUUUUUUAGUUCUUUUUUUCUUUACGAUUUGUAUUAUUCUAGUUAUUAAUGGUUAUUUCUUUUGUUGAUGA